rnacentral:rRNA from 1 species
GCNGGCCUACACAUGCAAGUCGAGGGGUAGAAGUUACUUGUAACUUUGAGACCGGCGCACGGGUGCGUAACGCGUAUGCAACCUACCUUUUACAGGGGAAUAGCCCAGAGAAAUUUGGAUUAAUGCCCCAUGGUAUAUUUAGAUGGCAUCAUCUGAUUAUUAAAGUUCCAACGGUAAAAGAUGGGCAUGCGUCCUAUUAGCUAGAUGGUAAGGUAACGGCUUACCAUGGCAACGAUAGGUAGGGGUCCUGAGAGGGAGAUCCCCCACGCUGGUACUGAGACACGGACCAGACUCCUACGGGAGGCAGCAGUGAGGAAUAUUGGACAAUGGGCGCAAGCCUGAUCCAGCCAUGCCGCGUGCAGGAAGACGCAUCUAUGGUGUGUAAACUGCUUUUGUACGGGAAGAAACACUCCUACGUGUAGGAGCUUGACGGUACCGUAAGAAUAAGGAUCGGCUAACUCCGUGCCAGCAGCCGCGGUAAUACGGAGGAUCCAAGCGUUAUCCGGAAUCAUUGGGUUUAAAGGGUCCGUAGGCGGUUUAUUAAGUCAGUGGUGAAAGCCCGCAGCUCAACUGUGGAACGGCCAUUGAUACUGAUAGACUUGAAUUACUGGGAAGUAACUAGAAUAUGUAGUGUAGCGGGUCCGUAGGCGGUUUAUUAAGUCAGUGGUGAAAGCCCGCAGCUCAACUGUGGAACGGCCAUUGAUACUGAUAGACUUGAAUUACUGGGAAGUAACUAGAAUAUGUAGUGUAGCGGUGAAAUGCUUAGAUAUUACAUGGAAUACCAAUUGCGAAGGCAGGUUACUACCGGUGGAUUGACGCUGAUGGACGAAAGCGUGGGGAGCGAACAGGAUUAGAUACCCUGGUAGUCCACGCCGUAAACGAUGGAUACUAGCUGUUGGGAGCAAUUUCAGUGGCUAAGCGAAAGUGAUAAGUAUCCCACCUGGGGAGUACGUUCGCAAGAAUGAAACUCAAAGGAAUUGACGGGGGCCCGCACAAGCGGUGGAGCAUGUGGUUUAAUUCGGUGAUACGCGAGGAACCUUACCAAGGCUUAAAUGUAGAUUGACAGGUUUGGAAACAGACUUUUCUUAGGAAACAGACUUUUCUUAUGACAAUUUACNAGGUGCUGCAUGGUUGUCGUCAGCUCGUGCCGUGAGGUGUCAGGUUAAGUCCUAUAACGAGCGCAACCCCUGUUGUUAGUUGCCAGCGAGUCAAGUCGGGAACUCUAACAAGACUGCCAGUGUAAACUGUGAGGAAGGUGGGGAUGACGUCAAAUCAUCACGGCCCUUACGCCUUGGGCUACACACGUGCUACAAUGGACGGUACAGAGAGCAGCCACUGGGUGACCAGGAGCGAAUCUAUAAAACCGUUCUCAGUUCGGAUCGGAGUCUGCAACUCGACUCCGUGAAGCUGGAAUCGCUAGUAAUCGGAUAUCAGCCAUGAUCCGGUGAAUACGUUCCCGGGCCUUGUACACACCGCCCGUCAAGCCAUGGAAGCUGGGGGUACCUGAAGUCGGUGACCGUUAAGGAGCUGCCUAGGGUAAAACUGGUAACUGGGGCUAAGUCGUAAC